CGUUUCACCCGUAAAAGUAAAUCGAGCUGUUACGGAAGACGUAAUACUAGAGGUUAUUUUAGUAAAAAAAAAUAGCCUUUUACAUGUUCCCAGAUCUCUCUUCGUUCAUUUUCUAUCUCCGCCUCUCUCUCCGGAAAAUCUUCUCUAUCUCACAAUCUCUCGGAGUUAUCUUCUUUCAUUUGAUUCAUGAUAUGAAACCAUAAAUCCAAUUUAUGUUCUCAUGAAUCGCGAGCCUAAAUCAAGAGCAACCCAAACAACCCAAUCUUUCAGCAGAAAUCGAAAACCCUACCUCAAAAAUCAAAACCCAUGGAUGAGCAGAAAUCAAAAGCAAACAUUGUAACCCAAGAUCUGCUUACUUUGCUCUUGAUAUCAUUAGGUAAGGUGUUUGUUUUCUAUUUUCCCCUACAAGAGAACUCCUCAAGUUGAGGAAAUCGUCUGCAGCUUAAAAAAGGGUUUAAUCGCAUCAUAGAUCGGUGUUGGUUUCUUGAUUCUCUUGGGUUCGGAAGAUUGGUUGCUAGAGUUUCCCUACAGAGAGAUGAUAUUGAGAUGAUACUUGUUGUUGUUAAACGAUCCACUCAUUACUACUGAUUACAUGUUUUUUUUUACUGCAAGUGGAAGCUACCCAUACCGGUGGAGGGGUUUAUAUGUAUAGUAAUCACAGAGAGUUGUUAAAGGGUCUCAAUUUUCUUUAAAGGAUGUCGAGGUGUUGGUUGGUGAAGUUGAUUUGGAUGAAAAUGGUGGCCGCUCGUGCUGAAGCUGCUAUUGACUGACAGUAUCCAACUGAUAGCAAAGAGUUCGCCAAACACAUAUUUUACACCGUUUUCAUGGGACUGAAAUUAGUUCAGAUGCCAUAAGGACGCGUUCAAAGCUACAAGCCGCCGAAACCGGUUUUUCUCACCUUGAUGUUUCGAUGAACAUUGUUAUACAUGAAGAACUGAAUUUCUGACAACGAUCCAGUGUGUAUUAGGUACUAGUUCACUGAGGUUCAGAUGUCACAAGGACACGUUCUAAGCUACUAGCCGCUGAAAUAUCGAACUGGGACCUGAACUCAACAGGGUAAAGCAGAGUUGGAAUGACUGAAGAGCAAAACUGGCCGAAGAAGUCACUUCUCCUUGCAUGAACAAUCGAAACCAGGAAAGGAAGCUAGCUGAAAUGAGGAAAUACUUCUUAUGAGGGUCCAAGUGGUGGAGCAAGGAAAUUAUAGGCUCUUAUGAAGCAUAUCGAUAGUAUAGGAAAUCAUUUGUUAUUGGUUUUUCUUGUAUUUGCGUUGGUACUUAUGUUAAUAGCAAAAAGAUUAUGAAAGAAGCAAAUAUGAAACUUGAGUGAUUGUUGUUUGUUGAAGUAGUAUAUACUGAAUUGGGGUUUUUGAUAUAAUGGGUAUUCAAAUUCUUGUUCUUUGUCA